UUUCGUCAUCCAGAAAUUUAUUAGUCAACCACGUACUCAUUGUCUUUCUUGAGAAUUCAACAAGUCAAGAAAAAUCUUUGUACCAGACCUACCAAACAGUCCCACAUUCCACCCUUUAAAGACAAAUAGUUUAACAAUAGUUGCUUUCAUUACUUAAAAUCAUUGUAGACCCCAUCAAACAAAUUCACCCAAUUCCCCUUUAAGCAAAAUAUUCUACAACCAUAAUAGAAAUUCAUUAGAGCAAGUAGUAUGCUAGCAAUGAGUAGAUGAGGCAGAUAUGAAUUUGAUUGCUU
rnacentral:lncRNA from 1 species